rnacentral:rRNA from 1 species
UUAAAGGGUCCGUAGGCGGGCAGUUAAGUCAGUGGUGAAAGUCUUCCGCUCAACGGGAGAACUGCCAUUGAUACUGAUUGUCUUGAGUUAUUAUGAAGUGGUUAGAAUGAGUAGUGUAGCGGUGAAAUGCAUAGAUAUUACUCAGAAUACCGAUUGCGAAGGCAGAUCACUAAUAAUAUACUGACGCUGAUGGACGAAAGCGUAGGUAGCGAACAGGAUUAGAUACCCUGGUAGUCUACGCCGUAAACGAUGGUUACUAGCUGUUCGGCCCGAUUAAGGGCUGAGUGGUUAAGCGAAAGUGAUAAGUAACCCACCUGGGGAGUACGUUCGCAAGAAUGAAACUCAAAGGAAUUGACGGGGGCCCGCACAAGCGGUGGAGCAUGUGGUUUAAUUCGAUGAUACGCGAGGAACCUUACCAGGGCUUAAAUGUAGUCUGACAGGAGUGGAAACACUUUUUUCUUCGGACAGAUUACAAGGUGCUGCAUGGUUGUCGUCAGCUCGUGCCGUGAGGUGUCAGGUUAAGUCCUAUAACGAGCGCAACCCCUGUGGUUAGUUGCCAGCGAGUAAUGUCGGGAACUCUAGCCAGACUGCCGGUGCAAACCGUGAGGAAGGUGGGGAUGACGUCAAAUCAUCACGGCCCUUACGUCCUGGGCCACACACGUGCUACAAUGGUAGGGACAGAGAGCAGCCACUUCGCGAGAAGGAGCGAAUCUACAAACCCUAUCACAGUUCGGAUCGCAGUCUGCAACUCGACUGCGUGAAGCUGGAAUCGCUAGUAAUCGCAUAUCAGCCA